UUGAAAAACUCCUGAUGAGUGGUCAUUGUAAAUCAGAAGUGCUUUCAGCAUGGAUGGGUGAGGAGCAUGGGAUUAAGUAGGGACCUCUGUCCUAGUAUUAUUUUCUCUGUUGAAUUCAUCCUACCAGUUGCUGAGCUCUUUAUUUGCACACAUCAGCCUUUUAGGAAGGAUCUCCAGGAAUCCUGUGGGGAGAGGCUGGUGCUGGGGGAAGACAGAGGAAUGCCUGGAGAGGACAGAAGUGAGACUACACCUGUUGGUCUGGAUUGCAGCUGGAAUUGGAAGGGAAAUGCAUUUCCAUUGAAGGAAGAAGUGUAACAGUGAGCAGGCAGGUGUCAGCGGAUCUCAAGAGAAUAAUGUCAACUGGACAAUGGCUUAGAGGCAGGAGGAGGCAGAUCAGCUAGGCAGAUGUGCAGAAGUUAAGUGUGGUUUCAUGCAGAAACUUCCAAAUGGAUUCAAGAGCCAAAGCCUUCAAGAAGUUGGUGUCAUUGUCACUUGGAAUAUGUUUGUAUUAAUACAGGUAGAAUAUGUUAAUAAACCAUAUUCUUAUCAAGAA